rnacentral:rRNA from 1 species
GUGGGGAAUAUUGGACAAUGGGCGCAAGCCUGAUCCAGCCAUGCCGCGUGAGUGAUGAAGGCCUUAGGGUUGUAAAGCUCUUUUGUCCGGGAAGAUAAUGACUGUACCGGAAGAAUAAGCCCCGGCUAACUUCGUGCCAGCAGCCGCGGUAAUACGAAGGGGGCUAGCGUUGCUCGGAAUCACUGGGCGUAAAGGGCGCGUAGGCGGACUCUUAAGUCGGGGGUGAAAGCCCAGGGCUCAACCCUGGAAUAGCCUUCGAUACUGAGAGUCUUGAGUUCGGAAGAGGUUGGUGGAAUUGCGAGUGUAGAGGUGAAAUUCGUAGAUAUUCGCAAGAACACCAGUGGCGAAGGCGGCCAACUGGUCCGAUACUGACGCUGAGGCGCGAAAGCGUGGGGAGCAAACAGGAUUAGAAACCCGGGUAGUCC